rnacentral:lncRNA from 1 species
UAUGACAUGGGUGCAACCCUAAAAAAAGACAAAAAAAUAAUAAUAAUAUUUGUUCUGCUUAGUUCACAAGAGUAUGUGUAAAAAGCAUUUUAUUACAGAUAAAAUGCUUUCUGAAUAUAAAGGAUAUUUGUUUUCUAAUGAGUACUAAUUAUUACAGUUUCCAUGUAUUGAAGACCUACCAAUGCCAACCAUAUGUAAAAUACAGUUAAUAGUCAAAAUAAUAAAAAUGAAAAUUAACUAUUUAUUAUCCCCAUUUUAAAGGAGAGGAAAUUGAGGGUCAGUGAGAAACCGUCCAAGGGGUGGUAAAUGGCAUUGGCAAGAAAAGGGAAGACCUUUUCUUUCUAACAUAAAUUAUACCUUUCCUUUUGGUAAAAACAUCUUUUGCAGCAUGUGGAAUAUUUUGGGGCGGUGGGGGAAAAUGACUCAUUUAAAGAAUUUUGUUUUUCAUUUCUAGAGCUUGUAAAACUGAUUAGUCAUUACAUAGCAAAUCAUUUUUCUGUGUUAAAUCUUUGACUCACAUAUUCUAAUAGAAAGUAUCUAUCAUUUGAAUAAAAAGAUUCCCAGAUGCCUUCUUCUGGAUCUUCAGGAAGACACUCUCCUGACUAUAAAGCUGUGAGUUCUGGUACAGUAAUUUUUUAUAUUUCCACGUUCUUAUUGAUAUGUAGCCUUCUGCCAGUAACUGAAGUGGCGAUCUGUCCCCCUGCUGCUUCUGCUCACCGUCUGCCUGACAGCUAGCAUAGAAAAGAGCUAUUGGUUCUGCCACUCUUGUUCCCAGGAGUCCACAGCUAUGCCACCUAAUCUGAAUGUUGUGCUUCAGUAACUCCCUAAGAGGAUUCUUCUGCCCACUCAGUUUAUGUUUCCUAAGCACUGUGGCAGCUGCUUAGGAAGCCGGCUCUAAUCAGUUCUCUACACAGAGCCGCCCUCUCAACAGAAUUGUUCCAUGGCACGUAAAGAUUUGGUCAUAGCAGUCUCCUACCUUACUGAUGCUUAGGCCAUCACAAUGUUCAGAGAAACAUGAGUCACAGAUACGACUUAUAGAGCUAUUUGCAAAACCUUCCAUGAUCCAUAUUGGCCUUCCUGAAUACAUCUCAGCCAUCAGAAGGAGCCUCUGUAGACUCAGGAUAGAGCAACCCAGUAGUGAAGUGUUUGAGAAGGAAAACUGUGCCUUAACUAUUUUGUAAAAGUGACUAAAUCUUAUGUUCAGAAGAACUUUGUUUUGAUGUUAAGGUGAAAAUUCCAUUGUCCUUGUCAUUCAUUUCAGUGGCUCUCCAGAUACUUCUUCAUAAAAUUAUUGCCAUCAUUCUAAGCAUAAUUUGCUUUGGAACUCAGAGAUCAUCAUCCUGUUAGUCUUGAUUCUGUGAUGAUUAAUAGCAAAAGAAGUAACCAACCAGAUGUAGUAAUCCUAACACUGCAUUUUCAUUUGCAUUUUUCGUUCAAACGGGAUUUCUGACAAUUUUGCUUAUGAACAAAACUAAAACUCCCUAAGUGUAUGAAUAAGUACAAGUAUGUUUUAUUUCUAGUAUAGACAUAUAAUGGUUAAAAUGUGUGUGAUGGGGGACUUAGAAUAUGCAUCCAUAUUCACAUUUGGCUUUGAAUACCUUUUGAAUUAUACUAACUUGAUAUCAUUUCAAUAUUUCACAAUGAUUGAGUCUAUAUACUAGUGGAAAAGACUAUAGUGAGAUGCUGAUAUUUCUUAAAUUUAUUCUUGCAUGACUCUGAAAUAUAUUUACCUGAUUAUUUUAAACUGUUUCUCUUUGCAUUAUACUUUUUAAAAAAAAAUUUACUACUCAAUGAAUUUAUUACAUUUAUAGUUGUACAAUGAUCAUCACAAUCCAGUUUUAUAGGAUUUCCAUCCCACAACCCCAGCACAUCCUCCCACCCCACCCCCCCCAAACUGUCUCCUUUGGAAACCAUAAGUUUUUCAAAGUCUGUGAGUCAGUAUCUGUUCUGCAAAGAAGUUCAGUCUGUCCUUUUUUUAGAUUCCACAUGUCAGUGAAAGCAUUUGAUGUUGGUGUCUCAUUGUAUGGCUGACUUCACUUAGCAUGAUAAUUUCUAGGUCCAUCCAGGUUGCUAAAAAUGCCAGUAUUUCUUUCCUUUUAAUGGCUGAAUAAUAUUCCAUUGUGUAUAUGUACCACCCCUUCUUGAUCCACUGUUCUGUCAAUGGACAUUUAGGUUGUUUCCAUGUCUUGGCUAUUGAAAAGAGUGCUGCAAUGAACACCAGAGUACAUGUGUUUUUGCAAGUCAUGGUUUUCUCUGGAUAGAUGCCCAGGAGUGGGAUUGCUGGAUCAAACGGUGGUUCUAUUUUUAGUUUUCUGAGGAAUCUCCAUCCUGUUUUGCACAGUGGUUGUACCAAUUUACAAUCCCCCUAACAGUGUAGCAGGGUUCCUUUUUCUCCACACCUUCUCCAGCACUUAUUGUUUAUAGACUUUUGGAUGAUGGCCAUUCUGGCUGGUGUAAGGUGGUACCUCAGAGUGGUUUUGAUUUGCAUUUCCCUAAAAAGGAGUGGUGUUGAACAUCUUUUCAUGUGCUUUUUUGGCCAUCCAUAUGUCUUCUUUGGAGAACUGUCUGUCUAGAUCUUCUGCCCAUUUUUUGAUGGGGUUGUUUGUUUUUUUGGUAUGGAGCAGUAGGAGGUGUUUAUAAAUUUUGGAGAUUAAUCCCUUGUCAGUGGAUUCAUUUGCAAAGAUUUUCUCCCAUUCUGUGGGUUGUCUUUUCGUUUUAUUUAGGGUUUCCUUUGCUGUGCAGAAACUUUUCAGUUUAAUUAGGUCCCAUUUGUUUAUUUUUGUUUUUACUGUCAUUACUCUAAGAGGUGGAUCUGAGAAGAUGUUGCUGUUGUUUAUGUCAGAGAGUGUUUGGCCUAUGAUUUCCUCUAGGAGUUUUAUAGUGUCUGGUCUUAUAUCUAGGUCUUUAAUCCAUUUUGAAUUUAUUUUUGUGUAUGGCGUUAGGGUGUGUUCUAAUUUCAUUCUUUUACAUGUGGCUGUCCAGUUUUCCCAGCACCACUUAUUGAAGGGUCUGUCUUUUCUCCAUUGUAUAUUCUUGCCUCCUUUUCAUCGACUAGUUGGCUGUAGGUGCGUGGGUUUAAUUCUGGGCUUUCUAUCCUGUUCCACUGAUCUAUAUUUCUGUCUUUGUGCCAGUACCACAUGGUUUUGAUGACUGUUGCUUUGUAGUGGAGUCUGAAGUCCGAGAGCCUGAUUCCUCCAGCUCCAUUUUUCUUUUUCAGGAUGUCUUUGGCUAUUCUGGGUCUUUUGCGCUUCCAAUGCUUUAUACUUUGAAAUCAAAUUUUUACAGUCUCCAGAAAUGUAUAUGACUUUAUCAUCAGUUUAUACAUUCUAACUAUAUGUGGAAUUUGAAAUGAAGACCUUUUUUAUGGACAGAUAGAAAUAGCAAAAUUCCUUAUUUCUAGGCUCAUUUUAAUAAUGUCCAAUUCUAGGUAAUUUUAAAGUGAGGUAAAUAUUAAUGCACUAGGAAUUUAAUAUCAUUCACUAGAAGAGAAAUAACAUGUGGGUACUGCUAUUAUUUGCAAAGUCUUAGGGAUGGAAAGUUGUAAAAAAAUACAGUAAAGGAAUAGAAAAUCUAUUUAGAGCAGAGUAAACCUUCUUAUUCUUUUUUCCAUGUCAAUUUGGAAGUUUACUCUAAAAGUCAUAAAGGGAGUUCCCUGGUGGCCUAGUGGUUAAGGAUCCAGUGCUGUCACUUCUGUGGCUCAGAUUGCUGCUGUGGUAUGGGUUUGAUCCCUGACCCAGGAACUUCCACAUGCCAUGGGCAUG